ensembl:lincRNA
AUGACUGAUGAGAGUCCCUGCGAGUUACCCCUCCAGAGGCUCCGCGGCAGAUUCGCCGUACCUGUCCCGCAUGUGAUGAAUCCUGCUGUGCCACGGCUGCCCUUUGCGUGGGACGUCCCCUCUCCACCGCCACCAUGGCCCCCCUCAGCGCGAGGACCUCUCUAUGCAGCUUGCGCCCUGCGACUUCAACAGAAGGCACCAGGGAAAAGUCCUGUAAGCCAGGAUUGCCAGCCGCCUCUCCAUCCGGGUGCCUCUCCCUCGUCCAGCCAGAGCCAAGAAGGCCGGCGCGUGGGUGGGAAGACGUCCCUCAUCCGAGGGUACAGGGGCAAAGCCAGGGCUCGGAACUCAGGGGGGCUCGCGCUCAGAGAACGGCCCUGUCACCAAUUUGUGUGAUGCUUGGAACAAUCUACUUCCCUUUUCUGGGCUCCUCGCUUCCUCUUGGGUAGAAUGAAGUCAUUCCAUUGGGCAGAGGCGGGGAGGCAGGGAGUGACCUAGUGGGUGCUCGGAGCCCUAAUUGCAGAGAACAAUGGGACGUUGCCUUAUCUCUUUGAACAACCCUAUCACCUUCAUUUCUCAGGAAACCGAGGCACGGUGAGACUUCGUGACACACUCAUGCCCACAGUCAGUUUCCCAUUUGGGACUGGGAUGCAGAGCUCUGUGCUAUCAAAGGCUGCGCUCUGAGUUCCUCCCUGGCCCCCUUAUCUGUGGUAUGGUCUUUGGACCCAGGAGGAAAACAAUGUAAGAUUAAAAGGUGGAGAAAUGCUGGAAGUCAAAACAUUCCAUGUAACAUCUUCUCUUCGAGUACUCGUAUUUUCCUUGGUUAAACAUUUUGAGACUGUAGGGACCUGGUAACGAAUAAUGGGCAGGAUGUAAACCAGAGCCUUCAAAGACAGGGGUCAGCUCACAAUGACACCCCCACGAUCUCACAGCACAGGGUAGGGAGACCUGUUUGUCCCUUUCUGGUGGACCAUUCGGUAGCAAUUUUGAAAGAGUAGAACUUCAUCACUGCCCUGUCUGGAAAAGUGGUCAAAGGUCUGCGUAGACCCCUAGGCAGUGGUGCCGGGGCCUGGCCGUGGCCCCCAUGCUCUAAGCACCCCAUUCUGCUUAGCACAGUCCCCCAGUGGUGAAAGCAGAGGCUCUGGCCAGCGUGGACUCGCAGACCGUCGCUGUGGAUCGUAGCCUUCCCGGGACCCCCACAUGCGUGUGAACUCCUCACUGCUGUCUCUCCCUGGCUGCAUAGCCCUGAGCCUCUGGAAUGCGGUGGCUGCUGCAGGGCACUCGCUGUGGCCCGAGGGAGAUCCCCUCACCCAGCGCCGGGGUCCCCCACGCCAAACUGCUCACACGAGUUAGCAAUAGGGGUGCACACAAAUGGGCUGGGGGCUGGCGGCACAUACUCCACAGUUCCCAAACAAACUUUAUAGAUAGCCUUACAUGUAUCCGUGUUUUCAAACAGUUUUUGUCUUAAUUAUACCUGGGACGGGUGGUAGAAACCGUAAGCCUUUAUAAUAGCCAUGUCUGUGUACAGUGCUUCCUCUGUCUCAGGUUCUGCUCUGCGGUCUUUUAAAAACUGAACGUAUUUAAUGUGUACACUGAUGCUUUAAAGUACAUGAUCCAUUUUAAUCAUUGUUUCCUAGAAGAAGAGCUGAGGCAGAGAGAGGUCAAGGAACUCUGCUGAGGUUAAACAAAUAAAUGGUGAUCUUGGGAUUUAGACCUAAAUAUACUGUGGUUGUAUCUGUUGCUUUCACGGUGUAACAAGCCAUCAAACUUACUGACUGAAAACAACAGAUAUUUAUUUAAUGAAAUAAUUGAGAUUGAACC